rnacentral:rRNA from 1 species
GCAAGUCGAACGAUGAAGGGAGCUUGCUCCUGGAUUAGUGGCGAACGGGUGAGUAACACGUGAGUAACCUGCCCUUGACUCUGGGAUAAGCCUGGGAAACUGGGUCUAAUACCGGAUAUGACCUUCCAUCGCAUGGUGGUUGGUGGAAAGCUUUUUGUGGUUCUGGAUGGACUCGCGGCCUAUCAGCUUGUUGGUGAGGUAAUGGCUUACCAAGGCGACGACGGGUAGCCGGCCUGAGAGGGUGACCGGCCACACUGGGACUGAGACACGGCCCAGACUCCUACGGGAGGCAGCAGUGGGGAAUAUUGCACAAUGGGCGCAAGCCUGAUGCAGCGACGCCGCGUGAGGGAUGACGGCCUUCGGGUUGUAAACCUCUUUCAGUAGGGAAGAAGCGAAAGUGACGGUACCUGCAGAAGAAGCGCCGGCUAACUACGUGCCAGCAGCCGCGGUAAUACGUAGGGCGCAAGCGUUAUCCGGAAUUAUUGGGCGUAAAGAGCUCGUAGGCGGUUUGUCGCGUCUGCCGUGAAAGUCCGGGGCUCAACUCCGGAUCUGCGGUGGGUACGGGCAGACUAGAGUGAUGUAGGGGAGACUGGAAUUCCUGGUGUAGCGGUGAAAUGCGCAGAUAUCAGGAGGAACACCGAUGGCGAAGGCAGGUCUCUGGGCAUUAACUGACGCUGAGGAGCGAAAGCAUGGGGAGCGAACAGGAUUAGAUACCCUGGUAGUCCAUGCCGUAAACGUUGGGCACUAGGUGUGGGGGACAUUCCACGUUUUCCGCGCCGUAGCUAACGCAUUAAGUGCCCCGCCUGGGGAGUACGGCCGCAAGGCUAAAACUCAAAGGAAUUGACGGGGGCCCGCACAAGCGGCGGAGCAUGCGGAUUAAUUCGAUGCAACGCGAAGAACCUUACCAAGGCUUGACAUGAACCGGACCGCUGCAGAAAUGUGGUUUCCCCUUUGGGGCUGGUUUACAGGUGGU